rnacentral:rRNA from 1 species
AUACGGAGGAUGCGAGCGUUAUCCGGAUUUAUUGGGUUUAAAGGGAGCGUAGAUGGGAGCUUAAGCCAGUUGUGAAAAGCGCGGGCCCAACCCGCGUCGUGCAAUUGGAACUGUGUUCCUUGAGUGGGUUCGGGGCAGGUGGAAUUCGUGGUGUAGCGGUGAAAUGCUUAGAUAUCACGAAGAACUCCGACAGCGUAGGCAUCCUGCCAGGCCCUUACUGACAUUGAAGCUCGAAGGUGCGGGUAUCAAACAGGAUUAGAUACCCUGGUAGUCCGCACGGUAAACGAUGGAUGCCCGCUGUCGGCGACAGACGGUCGGCGGCCAAGCGAAAGCGUUAAGCAUCCCACCUGGGGAGUACGCCGGCAACGGUGAAACUCAAAUGAAUUGACGGGG